UACAGAGGUCCCGAGCGUUGUUCGGAUUCAUUGGGCGUAAAGGGCGCGUAGGCGGUUUGUUAAGUCGGUUGUGAAAGCCCGGGGCUCAACCCCGGAGGGUCAACCGAUACUGGCAGACUAGAGUACAGAAGAGGUAGCUGGAAUUCCCGGUGUAGCGGUGAAAUGCGUAGAUAUGCGGAGGAACACCGAUGGCGAAGGCAGUCCCCUGGGCCUGUACUGACGCUCAUGCACGAAAGCGUGGGGAGCAAACAGG
rnacentral:rRNA from 1 species